AACGCACCUUGCGCUCCUUGGUAUUCCGAGGAGCAUGCCUGUUUGAGUGUCUUGAAGUCAUCAACCCCCUCCCGUUUUGCGACGGGUCCGGGUUGGAGCCUGGGGGAUUGCGGCCGCGAGGCCGCUCCCCUCAAAUGCAUCGGUUGGGCCUGCGGGUCGGACUCGGUUGGGCGUUGUACCAUCCUCGCUCUUAUCCCGAGAUGUUCCCCUAUUAAUGUGCCCUCCCACGACCGCCCCGUUCUGGAGUCGGUGGUCAAGCUUUUGAAGCACUUUGAAAUCUGACCUCAAAUCAGGUAGGACUACCCGCUGAACUUAA
rnacentral:rRNA from 1 species